AAUAGCUUUAUUGUUUAAUUGUAACUAAUCGCUGCUAAGGCUGCUUGGCAUCCUUUCAUUUUGCAUUAGACAUUAGAUUUUUACGAGCAAUGUCGAUAUAUUUUAGUGUAUGUUUCCAAUUUUGAGCUAGUAUCGAUUCGAAGCGUAUCAUAUUUCACAGCAAUGCAUAUUUUUUGUUACCAAUCUUAAAAACAAUCUAAGUAACAUUUCGCAAUAAAUCGUAUUAGAUGGAUACACGUAACAAAUGUUAGAUGUGUAGGUUUGAAUUGAUGUGGUAAAGGUUUGUUUGAUUGCGUUCGAAACCGAUCUCAGAUGAGAAGCGAUUUAUCACGAGGUCACGUGGUCUUAACUCGAAUGAGAUCCAUUUCCACGAGGUUUAAGAAUCGUGUUCAUAGCUUGGGUGUUUGUUGCUGCUAGAUAGUUAUUACUUUUCAAAAAUAAAUUUAUUUA